UUGGACACAUCGCUAUUCCUGUUUUUUAAUUUUUCUUUUAAGUGUUCCCAGAGUCCUUGUGUGCCUCUCGGAUGCCUUGUAGUGAGGUCUGUUCCCGUAGAACAAAUGGAAAUUGGCUUUGGAAUUCAUGUGCCUGAAGAAAAGUCAUCUCGACAGCUGCCGGGGCAGACUCAAGCUCACACAAGGUGAAAGGAAAUACACAUGGAUUAAGUCUCUGUCUAUCAGCGUGGGACAGCCCUUCAGCUUGCUAGUGAACGCAGACACUGGUAGUCACGCUCUUGACCCAUGCACUAAGGGAAGGUCAGGGUUUGGAGCUGCAGUGGUAACUUCCUCUUUGAGGACAGGGACUGCCGUUUAUUCAUCUAUGGGCCUCUAGGCCUAGCACAAGGAAAGGUCACCUUGCACAGAGGUUUGCACGGUCUUGUCACUGAUAUUGACUCAGAGAGGCCUCCUGAAGGCAAUGGUGGUCAGUGACUUCCAGGCAGUCUCCGGGAUCGUGCGUGAAUGUACGUUUUGUACCUAUAAAGGUUCCACAGUUUGGUCCGGGACGCCAACAAAAAAUUCUUACUAGAAGAAAGAAAAGAUUGUAGCUGAAACCAUGAACCUUAGAGAAACAUGAGUUUCUUCACUUAUUAAUGACCUCCUGUGUGCUGAGGUACCAUUUUAUAUUCUUUCAGAUAAUGAACAAAAUGAAGAGGAUAAUCAAGGACCAUGUGUAUACGUGUUUGCAACCACAAAAGCUAUGAUCUAUAUCUGGAAAAUGUCUCUUCACUGAUAGUUUGAGAAUAUUAAGAUAAAUAAAACCAGUCUGCAUCAACAAGGAGUUAGUCAAGGGUAGAUGACCAAUGGGUAAGCCAACUGUUGGUUUAUUAUGUGGCUAGUGUCAUAUCAGACUAGAUGUGGUAUGCCUACAAGGCUGGAGGCACAUGGAGGAAGGGCCAUUAACUGCAUCCUGGCUGGAGGAUGGAAAAACAAAGAGAAUGCAAUUUCUGGGAGAGAUAAGUUAAGUUGAUUGUUCAGAGUGAAAUUGGAUAGCUAUUGAGUGGAAGAAGGCAAGGAGAGAGAAUGGAGGAGGAGAGAAGGAAUAGAGCAUGGUGGGAUGAAAGGAACCAUCCUUUACAAAGUCAUGGAAAUCAGAGAUGGCAUGAUAUACAAAGGCGCAGGCAAGGUGAACUGUUAACCAGAGGAUAAAGAUUUUCACUGAUGGGAUCUAAGCUGACACUACUGAAAAUCUAGUAAACAUCCUUUCCCAUAACAUUAGCUCACAAAUAUUGAUUGAAUAGGUGACUGUGGUCCAUAUUAUUGUAACUAGAUAAGAAAAAUGUGGUCAAGGCUAUUGUCAUUGUAUUGUUCUGAAGCCACCUAGUAAGUAAAGAAGAAGGGGACUUUAUUCUGUUCUUCUGGUUUCAUGAGUGGCACACUGAAGAUGCCUUGUGUCCAUGCACAGAAGCCGUUGUGAGGCAUCCUUUCUCAAAAGGAAGUCCUGGUAGCCCUAUUCAAAUUAGCAACAACUUUCUCUAUGUCUUUUGGGAGAUACCUGUAAUAUGAUCAAGUGCGAGUAUGAAUUCAAGUAGGAAAAAAAAAAGUGUCUGUUUUCAAAUGAAAGGAAAGCACUCAAUGAGUUAAAGAGAGAAACCAAAGAUGAAGAAGAUUAAGGAACACGGAAGAGAAAAUGGAAAGUAAUUAGAGUUCACUGAGCUAAAAUAUGAUUUAAAGAGUUCUCAAAAAGGUGCCAAGGUGGGAAAGAAAGCGAUUAGAUUGCAAAAUUUCUAAAGGCUGGCAAAAGCUUUAGGGGAAAUCAAAGAACUGUUACCAAUUCAAUAGAAUUUUAUAUUAUUUUAGGGAAUCAAGUAACAGUCCAUUAGCUGCAAAGCCCAAGAUUAAGAAAAGUGCUAAAGAUCAGACGCCUUCUAGAAGCUUCAUACAUCUAAAAGUUUGAGCCUAGCAGCAUAUUGGUGCUAGAAAAGCCUGAGUAGUCAUCUGCUGGCUCCCUCUCUUUACAGCCAAAGAAACUGAGGCCAACGAGGUAGUAUUCCAUCUACAUGUGGUUGAAUCAAGUCCCAUAAUGCUGGCACUUGAUUAUAAACCUCCGACGCCAAACUCAAGGCUUGUCACGGAACUGGAUUUCAGUUUAGAGUAUGGAUUUCUAAAAUUGGCUAUAGCACCAUCCUGUUCUACACGCAGAGAAAUCAUAGAGCAUGUCCCAAAGAACUCUAGACUAACAAUGGGAAGCAUCCGGAGAAAAUGACACAAUAGAAGGUGAGAAGAUCAAGCAGGAUAAAGUGGCAAUAUUAGUUUUCAGUGGCUAUAUUCUAAAAUCUGAGUCUGUAGCCUCCUCUUUCUUUGAUUCAAUUGUAUAGUUCAGCUCUUUGUCUCAAAUCUCGAGAGGCAUAACUUUAGCUUUGUUAUCUGAAAAUGGGGAUCAGAAAUGAGGUUUUAUGGAAAGAUUAGGAUCAUUUUAUGAUCGAACCUAGCCCAUUGGAGGUUCCUUUACUGCUCCUAUUAUAAAGACUCCGGAGAUGAACUUCAGCAGUCGGAGUCUUGCCUUGGCUAGCACAUGAAACUUCUAACUCAACCUUGAUUCCACUGUCCCACAGACAUACUUAUGGCUUCCAACCUGCUUGUUUUUGCCCCACUUGCUAAAGAAUCUUUGAGUCUGCUGUUGAACUUAGCAUGACCGUCUUAAGAAAUAGGCUGUAAAUAUCCAGAGAGUUGUGCCUCUGGAUGAACAGAUGUUCUCACAUCGAUGAUGACACCCUCCUCUGGCAGCUUCUACUUCAGAUGCUCCCCCGGGACCCAGGUGGUGUGCUGGUUACGAGCUGGGCUGCGAACCAUCAGCUCAGCAGUUGGAAACCACCAGGUGCUCCUCCAGAGAAAGAGAGCGCUUUCUCCUCCCGUGAAGCCUCAUGGUCUCAACAGCUCACAGGGUUUACUCUGACUUUUAGGGUUGCUAUAGUGAAUCUGUUUUUGUUUUUUUCCUUUUGUUUACAUAGCACAAAUGCUGUGCAGUACUAACCUAAAGGUUGGUAGUUCAAAUCCACCCAGACAUUCCAUAGAAGAAAGUCCCGAAAAUCUGUUUUUGUCAAGAUUACCGCCAAGAAGACACAUGGGAGAAAUUCCACUUCUGUAACACAUGGGGUAGCCUUGAGUUCAUUUGAGUUUGGUGUUUGGGGAGCUGUCAAAAGGUCCUUCAAUGGUGCUGUAUCUUCAGAGGCCAAAAUAGCCCACAAUUUCUUAGGAAAAUGGACAUUUAAGGAGGUGACUGAUGCUAUUACAUGAAGGUAACUGGUAAGAUAAAAGGUUGGGAAUUAGACAAUGAAACUAAAUAAGAAAAUGCAGUUAGCUCCUGUUAUGGCUAUAAAGUUGGAGAUUUAAAGAAAACUGACCUCUAUUCUGACUUAUGCACCACAAUCAAAACAAUCAUUAACACGUUCCUAUUAAGAAAUCUAUGGCAACCAGCUACAUUUAAGUCCCCUAAAUUAAAAAUCACUCUAAAUAAGACAGAGGAUUUAUUUAGCUCAGCUGUUACAACUUUGUCUCUCAGACAUUUCUUAUGCAUCAUGCAGACAACUAAUAUUUACAAUAUCUCAACAGCUAUACAAGAAAUACUUUAGUUGGUACUUUGUUAUCAUCCUUAUUUGGGCAGAUGAAAAUGUAAUUUUUACAAAACCCUUGAAAAAAAUAGUCUGGGAUUCAAUAUUGUUAUUUUUGAAAGCUCUCUUGGGCAGUUUUCUUUGAUUGUGUUCUCAAAUGUUUUAAUCUUGUCAUUUUUGCUCAAGGACCAGCAGUGACUCCCUAUUGAUCCUUACGUUUGACACAAGCGUCUUUCCCUAUUGCCAAUUCCUUAGUAUAUCGCUCCGCUCUAAUUUCCAUUACAAUGAAAAUUACACUUAACAUUGACACUCUGAAUGUUAAGUUAACAUGCUUCUUGUUUUCCUAGAAUCCAAUUAUGAAAUUAGAGAGCUUUGUGAAAGAACAACUAAUUCACCUCCUUAUUUCCUAAUAAAAAUGGUGUUAUUGAUUAAA